ACCACUGCGAUCGUGCAAUGCUGUUUCUCUGUUCUGGUAUUGCACUUCAGCAAUGGUGA
rnacentral:pre_miRNA from 1 species